UACGAAGGGGGCUAGCGUUGCUCGGAAUGACUGGGCGUAAAGGGCGCGUAGGCGGAUGGCACAGUCAGAUGUGAAAAUUCCCGGGCUUAACCUGGGGGCUGCAUUUGAUACGUGUUGUCUUGAGUUCGGAAGAGGGUCGUGGAAUUCCCAGUGUAGAGGUGAAAUUCGUAGAUAUUGGGAAGAACACCGGUGGCGCAAGGCGGCGACCUGGUCCGACACUGACGCUGAGGCGCGAAAGCGUGGGGAGCAAACAGG
rnacentral:rRNA from 1 species